rnacentral:rRNA from 1 species
UGCGUAGGCGGCGCGGUAAGUUGGGUGUGAAAUACCUCGGCUCAACCGAGGAAUUGCGCUCAAGACUGCCGUGCUCGAGGGAGACAGAGGUAAGCGGAACUUAGGGUGGAGCGGUGAAAUGCGUUGAUAUCCUAAGGAACACCGGUGGCGAAAGCGGCUUACUGGGCCUCUUCUGACGCUGAGGCACGAAAGCUAGGGGAGCGAACG